CAGUCGCCGCGGUGAUACGUAGGUGGCAAGCGUUGUCCGGAAUUAUUGGGCGUAAAGGGCUCGCAGGCGGUUUCUUAAGUCUGAUGUGAAAGCCCCCGGCUCAACCGGGGAGGGUCAUUGGAAACUGGGAAACUUGAGUGCAGAAGAGGAGAGUGGAACUCCACGUGUAGCGGUGAAAUGCGUAGAGAUGUGGAGGAACACCAGUGGCGAAGGCGACUCUCUGGUCUGUAACUGACGCUGAGGAGCGAAAGCGUGGGGAGCGAACAGGAUUAGAUACCCCGGUAGUCCCUGUCUCUUAUAC
rnacentral:rRNA from 1 species